GCCCGCAUGGCUCAGUGGUAGAGCGUGACACUAGUAAGCGGAUUUGGGGUGUCACUGGGUGACAUGUUUCUUCUAGCCCGCAUAACUAUGUCAAGGUCGUCAGUUCGAUUCUGGCUGUGGGCA
rnacentral:tRNA from 1 species